rnacentral:rRNA from 1 species
CGAACGGGUGAGUAAUGCGUGACCAACCUGCCCCAUGCUCCAGAAUAGCUCUUGGAAACGGGUGGUAAUGCUGGAUGCUCCAACUUGACGCAUGUCUUGUUGGGAAAGUGUUUAGUGGCAUGGGAUGGGGUCGCGUCCUAUCAGCUUGUAGGCGGGGUAAUGGCCCACCUAGGCUUCGACGGGUAGCCGGCCUGAGAGGGCGGACGGCCACAUUGGGACUGAGAUACGGCCCAGACUCCUACGGGAGGCAGCCAGCC